rnacentral:rRNA from 1 species
GACGAACGCUGGCGGCGUGCUUAACACAUGCAAGUCGAGCGGAGCGGCUAACGGGUGAGUAACGCGUGAGUAACUGCCCCCCUCUCUGUGAUAACAGUUGGAAACGGCUGCUAAUACCGGAUAGUGGGGGCUGGCUCGCGUCCUAUCAGCUUGUUGGUGGGGUAUUGGCCUACCAAGGCGAGGACGGGUAGCCGGCCUGAGAGGGCGACCGGCCACAGUGGGCUGGGGGACGGGCCAAACUCCUACGGGGGGCAGCAGUGGGGAAUAGUGCGCAAUGGGGGAAGCCCUGAAGCAGCAACGCCGGGGGCGGGAUGACGGCUUUCGGGUUGUAAACCGCUUUCAGCCAUGACGCGGUAGUGGCAGAAGAAGCACCGGCUAACUACGUGCCAGCAGCCGCGGUAAUAC